rnacentral:rRNA from 11 species
GACCCCCCAUGCUACUCUACAAAUCUGUAAGUCCAUGCGAUGAAGUCCUUAGAAGCGAGGUAGGGUCAGUCAUGGUUAGUGCUUGGAUGGAAGACCACCAAAGAAUACCAGGUGUUGUGGACU